UACGUAGGCAGCGAGCGUUGUCCGGAUUUAUUGGGCGUAAAGGGCGCGCAGGCGGUUCGUUAGGUCCGAGGUGAAAUCUCCCGGCUCAACUGGGAGGGGUCUUCGGAUACCGGCGGGCUUGAGGUGAGCAGAGGUGAGCGGAAUUCUGGGUGUAGUGGUGAAAUGCGUAGAUAUCCAGAGGAACACCAGUGGCGAAGGCGGCUCACUGGGCUCCACCUGACGCUGAGGCGCGAAAGCGUGGGGAGCGAACCGG
rnacentral:rRNA from 1 species